GCAAGCUGUGUUACAAGGAUAAUACACAAUACACGGAUUCCGACACAUACUUUGGAGGCUAUACGUGGCGUAUUGGCUUGUCCGUCUAGCCCAGGUCAGGAGAACCGCUAAGGGGAAAUGGACUUACCCCAAGCCUUUACCGUGUCUAACCAGAAAUGUCAAUAACCUUCGAUCGGUGAUGUAAUCGGAAUUCAAAUCCCGCCUACUUUUACAAUUCGGGUGAUCAUAAAUGGUAGUUAGAGCUUGGGGAUACAAGCACAGGCUUCAGAAGAACCCAUUUCGGUGUGUAGUAUUGUUAUAUUCGUAAGUGCAGUAUUGAGAAAUAUGGCAAUUUUAUCUUAUGCCGUUGUAUGAGCAUUUAUAUCCAUACCGAGACUGGCCAGGGGAAUUUUGCAAUCUUCAAAAAUUCAACAAGUCGUUCCACAGUACUAGAUGACAUGCAUGGAAAU
rnacentral:lncRNA from 1 species